UUUUUUUUCAUCUCACUGCCGCUACUACUAGGGUUGCCGACUAGCCAUCCAACUCCGGCGCUGGAAAGCCAUGUGAGUGAGGCUCACGCGCCCUUCCUUCUCGGUGCAUGAGAUGCUGUCUUACCCUGCUACGCUGCCCAAUCCACUUCGGCGCAGUUUCUGACCUCUUUCCGGCCAUCCCGUGCCAUUACCUGGUCUUUUGGUGAUUUGGUUGGGCUCUCUUGUGGGUGCCUUCUAUUAUGAGAAAAAUCACCUGCAUUGUGACUAUUGUGGAAAAUCGAGACAUACUAAGGAGACUUGCUGGUGGUGCAAAACGGGAUACCUCUAGAGAUCAAGCUAAUUUAGUAGAAACUGUGGAGUAGCCCUUUAAGGAGACAGCAGCUGCUGAGUUCCUUUUCCCUAAUGAAAUUCAGAGUCGCAAGCACCGCUUGUCUCAUAUUGACACCUCUUCCUCCUCUUGUACCACAUCUAACUUUGUAAAGUCAGGUAAUGCUUCUUUUCUUGAUACUGUUCCAUGGAUUAUUGAUUCUGGUUCGAAUUGACACAUGACAUGCUCUUUUGAAGGCUUUCUAAAUUAUUUUCCUUCUCUAACUAAAGAUAUUGUCAGAAUUGUUGCCAUAUCCGAAACAUAUUCUAUUAUUUGUACACCCAAUAUAAAAUUAUCAUCUAUCAUUCAUGUUCCUCGUUUUUCUGUCAAUCUUUUAUCUUUCAUUGCUAUUACCAAUACUCUUAACUGUAAAAUUGAAUUCUUUCCUAAUCAUUGUAUUAUCCAGGAUCUUCUCACAAGGAGAGGAGUGGCAAUGGUGGUGAUCUAGGUUCUCCAAUAUUUCAAGCCUCUUUUGGAGAAAAUAAGUAUGUCAAUAAGGAAAUAAUACAGUGGCACAAGCGGUUAGGGCAUCCAUCAUUUUUUAUCUUAAAAAAACCUUAUCUUAGAUUGUUUGCUAGAACUCAGUUCGGUUUUUUAUUUUGUGAUGCUUGUGAGUAUGCUAAGCACACUAGAAUUUCCUAUCUUUUGGGUCAUAAUAAAAUCUAAAUUCCUUUUGUGACUAUUCAUUUUGAUAUUUAGGGGCCUACUCAAACUAUCUCCUUAUCUGGUAAUCGAUGGUUUGUCACUUUUAUUAAUUGUUGCAUUCAUCCCUUGGGUAUAUUUGAUUAAAGCUAAAAGUGAUGUCUUUUCUUGUUUUCAAUCCUUUCACAAAAUGAUUUGUACUCAAUUUGAUGCUAAGGUGAAAAUUUUGAGAAUUGACAAUGAAAGGAAAUAUAUGAAUAGUAAGUUUUUUGCUUAUUUGGAGAAUAGUACACCAGACAAGUUGUCUUUAAACUAGUGCACAAAAUAGCAUUGCUGAAAGGAAAAACAUGCAUCUAUUAGAGGUAGCCUGAUCUCUUAUAUUAACCAUGAACCUACCCAAAGUAUAUUGGGGAGGUGCGGUCCUUGUAUCUGCCUAUUUUAUCAAUUGAAUGCCCUUCAAGACUCUUGACUUUAUGAGUCUUUUGGAGGUUCUACAAGGAAGGAAUUUAUACAUUGUUCCAUUGAAAGUAUUUGAGUGUGUUUGCUUUGUCCAUACUAGGAUAACAAGAAAGUUGGACUUCAAAUCCCUUAAUGUGCGUUUGUAAGUAUUCUCCGACAUAGAAGGGAUACAGGUGUUAUUACCCUUUAUCUAGAAAAUAUUUUAUCAGUAUGAAUGUUAUAUUCAGAGAAACUAAAUCCUAUUUUGUACUCUCGGACAAUAAUGAAUAAGAAAAGGUGAUUUUGAAUUCUGUGAUUCUGAAUGAUGUGGUUCAGAAGGAGAGUUCUAGUAGACAGAGGGAGACGUCUAAUCAGGGGGAGAGAAUUGAAUGUUUGAACAAGCCAGAUUUGAGGAGGUAUUUGAGGAGAGACAAGGUAGAAGAAGGAGAUAUUCGAGGAGAGACAAGGUAGAAGAAGGAGGUAUUCGAGGAGAGACAAGGUAGAAGAAGCUAUUAUGCAGCCUACUCAGAGAUAAUAAUCUUCUUCUGGUGAGUUACCCACAACUCUUGAAUGUUCUAAUGAUUUAGAUAAACUUAUUGCGUUCUGGCUUUGUUUCUUAUGAAUCCUUGUCUUUCUCCUAUAGAGCCUUUGCCUUGUCUAGUUCUUCUGUGUCUAUUCCACAGGAUUGGAAGGAAGCUCUCGCAGAUCUGAAAUGGAAGGGAGCAAUAAUUGAAGAGAUGAAAGCAGUGGUAAAAAAUGAGAUAUGAGAGCUUGUCUCUCUCCCAUCUGGGAAGAAACUUGUUGGCUGUAAGUGAAAAGCUCUCGCAGAUCUGAAAUGGAAGGGAGCAAUAAUUGAAGAGAUGAAAGCAGUGGUAAAAAAUGAGAUAUGAGAGCUUGUCUCUCUCCCAUCUGGGAAGAAACUUGUUGGCUGUAAGUGAAACACAAAGCCGAUGGCACAAUUAAACGGUUUAAGGCCAUAUUAGUUGCUAAAGAUUUCACCCUAACCUAUGGAGUGGAUUAUCAAGAGAUAUUUACCCUAGUUGCAAAAAUGAACUCAAUCAGAGUCCUGUUAUCUUGUGCAACCAAUUUAGAUAAGGACUUACAACAACAGUUUGAUGUGAAUAAUGCAUUCCUUCGUGGAGAUCCCUCCUGGGUUUGCUGAUGAGAAGACACAAGGAAAGGUGUACAAAUUUAAAAAAGCUUUGUAUGGGAUAAAAAAAUCUCUCAGAGCUUAAUUUGAUAGGUUUAGCGGAGUAAUGAUGUCCUUUGAUUACCAACAGAAUAAUGCUGAUCACACUCUGUUUAUUAAACAUCACAAGAGUAAGAUCACCCUUCUAAUUAGUAUGUUGAUGAUACAGUGAUGAUAAAGAGGAAAUGACUCGAUUAAAAAAGUUGUUGGCUUAAGAAUUUGAAAUUAAAGAUCUAGGAAAGUUUCAAUAUUUUUCAAGUAUUGAUGUGGCCAGAUCAAAAAAAUAGAUCUUUAUCUCUAAAAAAAAGUAUAUUCUGGAUCUUUUAGAAGAAAUUGGUAUGUUGGGUAUAAACUAGUAGAGUCUCCUAUUGAGAGCAAUCACAAGACGCAAGUAGGUACUGAUGAGCUUGUGGAGAUUGAAAAAUACCAGAGAUUGGUAGGAAGGUUGAUUUAUCUCUCACACACUCGACUGGAUAUAGCCUAUAUUGUUAGCUUAGUCGAUCAAUUCAUGCAUGAUUCUCGCGAGAUUCAUAUGCAGAUUGUCCUUCACAUCUUGGGAUACCUAAAGUUUGCGCCAGGAAAGGGUUUUUUUACUUCGAACAUAGUUAUCUUCGAGUUGAAAUUUUUACAGAUGCAGAUUGGGCGAAAUCUCUCAAUGACAGAAGAUCCACCUCUGGCUACUGUAUAAUUGUAGGAGGGAAUCUUGUCACCUAGUGGAGUAAAAAAUAAAGUGUUGUUGUUCGGUCAAGUGUUGUGUGAAUUAACUUUUAUGAUUGCAGAAGUAAUUGGAGGAGUUGAAGUUGUCCGAGAGAAACAAGAUAACUUUGUACUGUGACAACAAAGCUGACAUCAGUAUAGUACAAAAUCUAGUUCAACAUGACUGAACGAAGCAUAUUGAGAUUGAUCGAUACUUUAUUAAAGAAAAAUUAAUAGUAGUUGUCUUUAGUUUAGUUCAUGUGACUUUUACCGGGCAACUUGCGGAUGUAUUUAUGAAAGAGCUCAUCAAUAGAACAUACGAUAAUUUGAUUUGCAAAUUGGGCAUGCGCGACAUCUAUGCAUCAACUUGAGGAGUGUUGUUGAUUUAUUUGCUGAUUUCUAGUGAUAUGAUUUGAUUUGAUUAUGGAUUUUAGG
rnacentral:lncRNA from 1 species